GGUUCCGUAGUGUAGUGGUUAUCACGUCUGCUUUACACGCAGAAGGUCUUGGGUUCGAGCCCCAGCGGAACCA
rnacentral:tRNA from 1 species